rnacentral:rRNA from 1 species
GACGAACGCUGGCGGCGUGCCUAAUACAUGCAAGUUGAGCGAUGAAGAUUGGUGCUUGCACCAAUUUGAAGAGCAGCGAACGGGUGAGUAACGCGUGGGGAAUCUGCCUUUGAGCGGGGGACAACAUUUGGAAACGAAUGCUAAUACCGCAUAACAACUUUAAACAUAAGUUUUAAGUUUGAAAGAUGCAAUUGCAUCACUCAAAGAUGAUCCCGCGUUGUAUUAGCUAGUUGGUGAGGUAAAGGCUCACCAAGGCGAUGAUACAUAGCCGACCUGAGAGGGUGAUCGGCCACAUUGGGACUGAGACACGGCCCAAACUCCUACGGGAGGCAGCAGUAGGGAAUCUUCGGCAAGGGACGAAAGUCUGACCGAGCAACGCCGCGUGAGUGAAGAAGGUUGUCGGAUCGUAAAACUCUGUUGGUAGAGAAGAACGUUGGUGAGAGUGGAAAGCUCAUCAAGUGACGGUAACUACCCAGAAAGGGACGGCUAACUACGUG